CGCCCAACAGCUAGCUCAACCCAACAAAAACCAACCCCCCACUAUGUAUAACCCCUAAAACACCUCACAUUAAAAUUAAACCAUUUUUCCGCCUAAGUACGGGAGACGAAAAAGGACCAACGAAGCAAUAGAGAAAGUACCGCAAGGGAAAGCUGAAAGAGAAAUGAAACAACUCAGUGAAGCACCAAAUAGCAGAGCUGCUUCCUCGUACCUUUUGCAUCAUGAUUUAGCAAGAAAAACUUAAGCAAAAAGCAUUAUAGUUUAAUUUCCCGAAACUAAGUGAGCUACUCCAAGACAGCCUGAUUGAAGGGCAACCCCGUCUCUGUGGCAAAAGAGUGGGAAGAACUUUGAGUAGAGGUGACAGACCUACCGAACUUAGUUAUAGCUGGUUGCCUGCAAACUGAAUAGAAGUUCAGCCCUUUAAAUUCUUUCACCACCACCCGGCCUAGCCGCCUUCACAGUCAUAAAAGAAGUUAAAGAAGUUAGUCGAAGGGGGUACAGCCCCUUCGAAACAAGACACAACUUUCCCAGCAGGAUAAAGAUCAUAAUAACCCAAGGCAAGUACACUAGUGGGCCUAAAAGCAGCCACCCAGAUAGAAAGCGUUAAAGCUCGAGCACUACCACUUCCUCCAAUCCGGAUAGUCCAAUCUUAAUCCCCUAAUCAUCACCAGGCCGCCCCAUUCAACACAUGGGGGCGAUAAUGCUAAUAUGAGUAACAAGAGGGCUCCGCCCCUCUCCUUGCACACAUAUACAUCGGAACGAACUCUCACCGAACAUUAACGGCCCCAAACAAAGAGGGAACUGGAAAAAACAUAAACAACCAGAAAAACAUCCAACCAAGCCAGCCGUUAACCCCACACUGGUGUGCCUAAUGGGAAAGACUAAAAGAAAAAGAAGGAACUCGGCAAACACAAGCCUCGCCUGUUUACCAAAAACAUCGCCUCUUGCAAAGAACCCGAAUAAGAGGUCCUGCCUGCCCUGUGACUAUAAGUUUAACGGCCGCGGUAUUUUGACCGUGCAAAGGUAGCGCAAUCACUUGUCUUUUAAAUGAAGACCCGUAUGAAUGGCAAAACGAGGGCUUAACUGUCUCCUUUUUCCUGUCAAUGAAAUUGAUCUCCCCGUGCAGAAGCGGGGAUACUAACAUAAGACGAGAAGACCCUAUGGAGCUUUAGGCUCCAGAACAGACUAUGUUAAAACCACCAGCACAAAGGACAAAACUAAUUAACCCCUGUUCUAAUGCCUUCGGUUGGGGCGACCGCGGGGAAACGAANAACCCCCAUGUGGACAAAGAGUAUACCUACUCCUAUAACCAAGAGCCACUGCUCUAAGCAUCAGAACUUCUGACCAAAAAGNNNNNNNGCACAGCCGAUCAACGAACCAAGUUACCCUAGGGAUAACAGCGCAAUCCCCUUUUAGAGUCCAUAUCGACAAGGGGGUUUACGACCUCGAUGUUGGAUCAGGACAUCCUAUUGGUGCAGCCGCUAUUAAGGGUUCGUUUGUUCAACGAUUAAAGUCCUACGUGAUCUGAGUUCAGACCGGAGUAAUCCAGGUCAGUUUCUAUCUAUGAUAUGUUUUUUUCUAGUACGAAAGGACCGAAAAGAAGGGGCCUAUGUUCCAAGCACGCCUCCCCCUUACCUAUCGAAAACAACUAAAAUAGGCAAAAGGGCAUAACCCCAAAAAGCUCAAGAAAACAGCUU
rnacentral:rRNA from 1 species